rnacentral:rRNA from 1 species
CCCUUAGAUGUUCUGGGCCGCACGCGCGCUACACUGACGAAUGCAACGAGCUUAUAACCUUGGCCGAAAGGUCUGGGUAAUCUCCAAAUUUCGUCGUGAUGGGGAUAGAUUAUUGCAAUUAUUAAUCUUCAACGAGGAAUGCCUAGUAAGCGCAAGUCAUCAGCUUGCGUUGAUUACGUCCCUGCCCUUUGUACACACCGCCCGUCGCUCCUACCGAUUGAAUGUGUUGGUGAGGAGCUCGGAUUGGCAGCAGUUGGUGGUUCGCCACCGGCUAUUGCUGAGAAGUCCUCCAAACCGCCCCAUUUAGAGGAAGGAGAAGUCGUANCA